rnacentral:lncRNA from 1 species
UUCUGGUUUUGGGGGUUGCGGGUAAAGCUUUCAGGUUUUUUUUUUUUUUUUUUUUUUUUUUUAGAAGAUUAGAUUAAAAAUAAAUAAAAAAUUAAUUUUUUUUGCCACGUGGCAGCCUCAUCAGCACAAAUGUGGUAGUCACGUCAGCAUUUAACAGACUAAUGGAUGAAAAAUCUAACGGAGGUGUUAUUUUGAAAUAAAAUGGUACUGGAUGUAUGAAAGUGAAAUGUUUUAAAGUUGUUGUAUGGAGUUGUAAUUGACCUCAAAUCUGAGGGGCUAGUAUGUAAUUUACUCCAAAAAGUAUUACUAUAAUUUUUAAACUUCAAGAUGAGGCGAAGGUGAAAAUAAAUAGUUUGAACAACUAUUUAUGUACAAAUUUAUGCACUUGAUAAUCACAAAUGAGAUCAUAACAUCCAAAAAAUUAACGACUCAACCCAAAACUAUGAAAUACCAAAUUAAAUACAAAAACAUCACAACCCCAAACCCAAACAAAACCUCAAAUCAAUUAAAAAAAAUGGCCCAACCCGUGUCUCUCUCAUUUUCCCCUUCCCUUGCUCUGUCUUCCCACCUAUCUGUCUCAGUGUAUAUUCUCUAUGCCUCUCACGAAAUCAAAACUGCCAAAACCAUGAACCAACAGAAAACCUGCAAAAUACCAUAAACCUCCAGCUAUUUAUACCUUGGCAUAUUCAUUUUUUUACAACUAUCACUUCAACGAACAAAUGGAUUCAUCCACUAACAGCAUAAAAAAAUUUAUAUCACAAUUGAACUUAACACUUUAUGUCAUCAUCUCCCUCUCAAUGUUCCAUGUUUUCCAUACAAACCAAAACCAGAAAAUUUUCAAAAAUUGGAGUCGCUUGACUCAUCUUUUUUCACAAAUCACAAACCCCUUUUAAUCCAACAAUUGCAAAUACAUAUUAAAAUUGGGAUAAACAGAAGCAGAGAUAACACACCCAAAAAAUAACAGUGUCGUUCCAAUUCCUGCCAAAUCCGAGAUUUAUGAACUGAGAUAACAAAAACUGCAACUGAUCACAAAGCCAAACGGUUAGGGUUUGGUCCAAACUGACAAAAAUCGAAGGGGCAAUAAUCUGAAAUUACAGUUCUAAAAAUCAAAAUACAUUACGAAAAAUAACAAAUAAUUUGUGAAGCAGAGCAGAAGCGCGAUUUACCUCGACGCUUAUGUAGAGGGUUUGGAGGAUGGCUUCCUCGUAGUGGUCCAUGCGACCAAUUUGAUAAUAAGUACUCUGAAUCUCGUCAAUCCCAGACGGAUUCGAACGCAAAAAAGGCCAAAUCUUCGCCCCUCCCGAUGACAACUCUAGAAACAGUGACCAAUUUUAUGAAGCUGGACAAAACACCCACAACCCCACGUUUAAAAGGAUCCAAAACCCUCCACAAAUCAGUUACCAGAAAUAAGAUCUCUUAAAAUACGAAAAAUUUUGGGACAGAGAAGGAGCAGAAGAAAAACAGUGAGAAUAAGGCACGGAUCAGAGAAGGAGCAGAAGAAAGAAAGGUUUAAACGAAAUAGAAAACUCUCGAACUCGAAGCGGACAUAUCGAACUCGAAGGAGCAGAAGGACGAUACACAAUUUAUCUCUAUAUAAAGGAGAACGCAAAUUUUAAUAAAUUUUUCAUAUUGUAAAAAUGCUUCUCACUUCUUAUAACUACAACAACAACAACAAAGCCUUUUCCCACUAAGUGGGGUCGGCUAUAUGAAUCCUAGAAUGCCAUUGCGCUCAUUUGUGUCAUGUCCUCCGUUAGAUCCAAGUACUC